GCCUACGAGAGACAGUUUACGCUGUAGCAUUUGAUGCCGAGUGAUCAAGUCUGAUGGGAGUUCUUUUCCACACCUUGGGCACACAGCUAACAUUACUCAUCUAUUCAAUAUCAUCUGCUGCAGUGCUGGUUAUGUUAGUUCUGUACAUUCGCUUUUCCACAAGUCUGCACAAAUAUGAAAAAGUAGCUCAAGACAGUGACGUGGAAUUACAACUAUA